rnacentral:rRNA from 1 species
GUGUCAGCAGCCGCGGUAAUACGUAGGGGGCGAGCGUUGUCCGGAUUCAUUGGGCGUAAAGAGCUCGUAGGCGGCUUGCUAAGUCGGGUGUGAAACCCUCAGGCUCAACCUGGGGCCGCCACCUGAUACUGGUAUGGCUGGAGUCCGGUAGGGGACCAUGGAAUUCCUGGUGUAGCGGUGAAAUGCGCAGAUAUCAGGAGGAACACCGAUGGCGAAGGCAGUGGUCUGGGCCGGUACUGACGCUGAGGAGCGAAAGCGUGGGGAGCGAACAGGAUUAGAUACCCCAGUAGUCC